AACCCGCACAUAUCCGGGUUAGAUAUGUACCUCCCUGUUGGACUGGCCCGGGCUUUGCCCGGGCUUUUUC
rnacentral:ncRNA from 1 species